rnacentral:rRNA from 1 species
UACGUAGGGUGCAAGCGUUGUCCGGAAUUAUUGGGCGUAAAGAGCUCGUAGGCGGCUUGUCGCGUCGACUGUGAAAACCCGUGGCUCAACCAUGUGGUCUGCAGUCGAUACGGGCAGGCUAGAAUUCGGUAGGGGAGACGUGGAAUUCCUGGUGUAGCGGUAAAAUGCGCAGAUAUCAGGAGGAACACCGGUGGCGAAGGCGGGUCUCUGGGCCGAUAUUGACGCUGAGGAGCGAAAGCGUGGGGAGCGAACAGGAUUAGACUACCCGGUGUA